UACGCAGGGGGCUAGCGUUGUUCGGAGUUACUGGGCGUAAAGGGCGCGUAGGCGGCGCAUCAAGUCAGGCGUGAAAGCCCUGGGCUCAACCCGGGAAUUGCGCUUGAGACUGGUGUGCUUGAGUACGGGAGAGGAUAGUGGAAUUCCCAGUGUAGAGGUGAAAUUCGUAGAUAUUGGGAAGAACACCGGUGGCGAAGGCGGCGACCUGGUCCGAGACUGACGCUGAGGCGCGAAAGCGUGGGGAGCAAACAGG
rnacentral:rRNA from 1 species